CUCUUGACCUGCUCAAAUUUGGUUUCGUAUCUUCCAUUUCAUAGAAUAGACAAUCCCUUCUCCGCCCCUGCUAUUGUGUGUAACCCAAAAAUCUCGAUUCAAUAUAGGCCACUUUAGAGACCAAUUCACCCCUCAUUAUCCUUAUUCUACGUUGUCUCCUCGCCCUAAAUUCAAGUUAACUUGAGUUUCUCAAGUUUCGGUCAAAAGAGGAAGGUCGAUUUAGAAGACUGCAUUCACAUCUCUCUCCGUCUUUGUUGUAAUAUUGUCCUCGUUUAGAGCCCAAACCAUCAGAUCUCUUCUGGGUUGAUGGAGGGAGGUAUUUCUUUUGCCAUGACAAACUAAUAAACCUGGAAUAACGAUGUUGUCUAUUUCCCCUUAAUUGGAUUCCCUCUGUUACCAUUUUUUGUCGAAUUCACAAAUUGAUUUGACAUUGAUUGCUGAAAAUAACAAAAUACUUGCAUCGGAAGUUAUAUACAGUGAUAUUUGACUUGGCAUCCUUUACUCGAAUGCCCUUUGAAGGUUUGUUUCAGUGAAUUCGCAUUGAAGUAUUGAUCCUGUGAAUGAGGUCUAUGAUUUAUUCUGUAUGUUGCAUUGAAGUAUACUUUUUAGUAGAUAAUAUUUCUACAAUUUGAAUAAGUUGAAAUCUUAAUAUUCUUGCGAUUUCGAUUGAGCAUUGGCAAGAAGUAGAAACACACAUGCGGCCAUCAUUUUACACUAUCGUACGAAGCGAUAGCGUACCGCAUAACCUAAGCAGUCUAUGUGCAUGUCAUGAUGUGGUAUGGCUGCUACCACGCAACAAUUGUGGUUUAAGUUACCUACUAGAUUUGAAAAAGUGACUAAAACCAUAAGGACCCGUUCGGUCUAUAGGUAAUAACCAUUUAAGAAAUGGUACCUACAUAUACAGUUGUUCGGUCCCUCAGAAACUCUAUCUGCAAGGCCCGCCUAGGCCCGAUGAAUAUAGCUGUAACGGAGUGUUUAUUAAUCUCAAAAAAAAGCCGCAAUACCAUUUCUCACUUUGAACAACAUUCUGAAUCAACCUCCAAUUACUUCUCUACCCCCUUCGUACAAUCAAUAUGCCCUUCUCCAAAUUUGGGGAACAUUGCAAGGCGCAAGAGCUCGAAGACGAAAACACUGAAUUCGUCGCCUGACUAGCUACAAACUGCAAUCGCACUCGAAAUCCAACGGUGUGUACGAAGGUCGUACUUCGAUUUGUGACUGCAAUCCGACUACAAACUGCAAUCGCACUUCGCACUCGAAACCCAGCAGGUCGAUCGUUGUCGAUCCGGUGUGAAAGAUUAUCAUAACUUGGACAUUGAGGAGUCCAUUGAGACUUGCCCCAUCUUCAGGCAUCCGGGGACUAGUGGGGCAGCAAACCACAAACCUGCUACUCGUCCAUCUGCACGUGUGAAGAAAUUCAAUCCAGCCGAAUCACCGCAUGGGAGCUCGUGCGGCUCGACGAGCCCAGCCAACUGGUGGAGGAAUAAUAUGAAGUGACUGUGUUUGGUAGGAUGCGUAAUGUUGCCUACAUAUGAGGUGGGAGAUGGUAUCAUUGUUCUAGUUUCGUAGUAUUUAUUGCUGUGUGUUGUGGUUUGCUUUAUCAACAUCGUUAGGAGCGUAGUACCUGGACUAUGUAUGGUUGUCUCUGUGAUGGACUUUCCUUCAAUGUAAGUUGUAGUAAGGUUGUGUACUAUCAUGUGAAAAUGAACUUAAGUAAGCUUCAUUGCUUACUUAAGUAAGGUGUGUACUAUCAUGUGAAAAUGAACUUAAGUAAGCUUCAUUUUAUCCUCAUUAAA